UCGUUACUCGUAUUUCCCUUAUUACUAUACGGAUCAAGCAAGUUUCAGGUAAGUUUUAAUUUAAUUUUAUCCAUAUUAUAUUUCCACGCCGGUAAGUUUUGGUUUUAUUAAUAAUUCGACGAGGUAUGAAGACGCCCACCGCUUUCUCCCUCUUAGACACGUUAAUUCACCUUCAGAGCUCCCGGAAAGCCAUAAUUAAAGUGUGAAAAUAUCAAAACUAGUCUCCAGGAAAGCCAUAAUUAAGUUUAAGCCUCUAAAAGUGCUUGAAAAUGGCUAUAAUAUAUCUGUGUGUGGCUUUCUUGAGUGAUUUUGAGCGGGAAAUGGGGGGCGUCCCUAUUCUCUGCUCUGAUUGGCUGUCCAGGGGCCUUGCUGUGCGCUGAUUGGCUGUGAGCUCCCCGCCUUUUUUUCCUGCUCUGUGAUUGGUCGCGGCACCAGGUCAGCAGCUUCCCCCUCAUUGCAACUUUGGCGCCAAAAUCUCGCACCCUCACACACACGCCUCUUAACCUUCAAGACUCGUAGAAAACCAUAAUUAAAGUGUGCAAAUACUAAAACUAACAUCCCGGAAAGCCAUAGUAACGUUGUAAGGCUUAAAACAGGCUUGGAAAUAACUAUAUACGUGUGUACGGACCCGACAGUUUCUCGCUCCUUCACACUCACGCCUCUAAACCUUCAAAGCUCCAAGAAAACCAUAAUUAAACUGUGCAAAGACUAAUUCUAACCUCCCGGAAAGCCAUAGUAACAUUGUAAGGCUUAAAACAGGCUUGGAAAUAACUAUAUAUGUGUGUACGGACCCGACAGUUUCUCGCUCCUUCACACUCACGCCUCUAAACCUUCAAAGCUCCAAGAAAACCAUAAUUAAACUGUGCAAAGACUAAUUCUAACCUCCCGGAAAGCCAUAGUAACAUUGUAAGGCUUAAAACAGGCUUGGAAAUAACUAUAAUAUAUCUUUGGCUUUGGCGGGAGAGGGCAGCGUCCCUAUUCUGUGCUCUGAUUGGCUGCCCGGAGCUUCCUGUGCGCUGAUUGGCUGGGAGUCUUCGCGUCCACACAGCCAUGGCCACCAGUCAACCCCGCGCCAUGGCCCCGCUGGCUCCCACUUUUUCUUGCCUCCACGAGCUUGCCAGGGACUUGUGGAGUGUAAUUUGAGUUGCCCUGACACAACAUGUAAGGGGCAGAAACAAGAUUACAGCACCCAAUACCUACCACGACAUGCUACUACACACAAUACUAGCACAGCCAUACCAAGAAAACAAGGUGGACAUUUUAGAACUAUUGUUAUGUAAAGAAGCAAUAAGACUGUGAAGUCAAGAAAGACCUGAUCAGAAGAAUGGGGAAGAAGAGAAGAAGAAAACUGACCUCUUUUACAAUACACAGGUUACUGGACCCCUCCCAUUUACACAGACUACUACUACUACUGCUACUA